GACAGAGGGUGCAAGCGUUGUUCGGAAUUACUGGGCGUAAAGGGCGCGUAGGCGGCUUAUCAAGUCAGGCGUGAAAUUCCCGGGCUCAACCUGGGGGCUGCGCUUGAUACUGAUGAGCUUGAAUGCGGGAGAGGAUAGUGGAAUUCCCAGUGUAGAGGUGAAAUUCGUAGAUAUUGGGAAGAACACCGGUGGCGAAGGCGGCUAUCUGGCCCGUAAUUGACGCUGAGGCGCGAAAGCGUGGGGAGCAAACAGG
rnacentral:rRNA from 1 species